rnacentral:lncRNA from 1 species
CCGAGCCCCCGUAGUCGAAAGUCCCGUUUUAAGGACUGGCCUGAUAGAUUACUUUCUACUUAAAGAUCCAGCUGGAGGCGGGGCCACGUGACCGCGCGUGAGGUCAGGGCCGCGGCGGAGCCGGCCAAUCUCAAGUUGGUUCAGGGAAUUGUCAACAAAGGGACGAGAGACGCGCGACUCAGCACCGCACCGUGCGCCAGCAACUCGCGGGCUCCGAGGGCGUCCUGGCCCGCCCCGGGACCCCAGCCUAGGCUGGAACCCCGCACGGGGGUCGAGGGAGCCUAUGGGUGUGAGUGCUGGAGGGUGGGUGUGAGAGAGUGAGGGCGUGGACCUGGGAGCGUCCGCGGGACCCGGCAGCUCUUGCUGCUGUGCCCUCCCUGCUCCCUCUCCCUUCCCCCUUCCCCCCAUUUGCCAACACUCCUUAGGCUGGGACCGGGCUAUGUAGAACGAGAUUCCCAUUCCAUUUUUCUUUUUAAAGAAAAACUUAGUAGUCUCUGUUUUGUUUUAGGGGUUUGAUUCUUUUUAGCUCUUGAGUAAGGGCUGCGCACCCAGCGCCGUUUUGCUAAUUAGACUUCAGAACCCCUCCUGCCUCAGUGCUCUUUAGGCAGAGACACGUACUGAGGGGACAAGUACCUUUCCCCCCCCAAAGCCAAACUACCCGGGAACUGCCUUCGCUUUCCCCGCUCGAUGUGGGCGUGUUAUAUAUGUAUGUGUGUGUGUAUAUAUAUAUAUACCCUCCCCCCCAGCGCGCGAGGCUACAACAGCAUCAGCUGGGGUUCCCGAAGGUCAGAAAAUAGUUAUUGAUUAAUCUAUUAGAAUAGUUGCCGACAGAAAUAAAAACGACGUAAAAUAGCAGUGAACCUAUAAAUAAAGAGGCAGUAACUAGCUGCUGGGAGUUGUUAAACGACUUAGCAUGUGAAAAAGUCGGAAAUGAGGCGCUGGGGAAGGAGCCGGGACUCAGCGGCCUGGAUUUAACUUCCGCGGAAACCAGUAGCAGAGCGGGUGAAGGAGGCGAGGAUGCGGCUAGUACACACCGAGUUUCCAUGGCGAGGAAAAUCACUGGUGUUUUAGGCCGCCUGAAAGCGAGCUGCAAGCGCCUGCCGGGUGUGGCGGGCUCCUUGAACCCAAGCCCUGUCUGUUCGCCCAGUCCUGGGAGGAGAAUGCCGGCCUCACCAGAGGAAGGAGAAGAAGGCGAGAGGUCCGGGAGGAUAUAGUUGGUGAAAUAUUUACAGAAGACGCUAGGAAAUCGAUUUAAUUCUUGGUGGACAGUGGUGCUUCUGAUUCCCUCUGUCUGUGUCUCUCUCGCCUACGAUUCCCUCAAUCCUUGGCCUAGAAAAAAAAAUCCGUAAACUUACUUCAUUAUAGGCAGUGAGACACACAGAUUGAGUUUCAUUUCCAUUAGAGAAUUUCCUGGAUAUAACACUAGCCCAUUGGAUCUCUAUUUCGCAGAAAGUUCUGGUUUGUGCCGGGGAUGGGGCGGGGGAAGCAGUGGCAGUUACUCCACCUGAGACACCGAAGAAACUCCAAAGUUUGUGGUUUUAUUUGUAUCUAAAUGGUACCCCGUUGUACCUGACCCUAAAAUGCAUCUCUGAGUUGAUUUCCGCAGCUGCACCUUUUUGUGGCCCCGCAGGUCUGCACCGUUUGCAAUGCCAUCUAGACAGCCCUCCGCGAAACCGACCCGAGCGGCGCGAGCUGGCAGCCCACCACU